rnacentral:tRNA from 1 species
UCUACCAAAGGAAAAUAG